rnacentral:rRNA from 1 species
AUGAGUGAGCUCAAAGUUGGACACAUAUGCAAGUUUCUUUCCAUUUCAUUUGUUUUUAUGUACAAGAAGAAAGAAGCAAAUCGUCAGGUUUGCCUAGUUCUUCUUUCUCCCAUUGCUAAUUCAGUUCGGACUUUAUAUCCUAACGAAAUGAAGCCAGCCAGGCAUUGCUGCCGAUUUACUCGAUUGAUCGGUCACUGCAUCCUCGAGACCCCACCGGCGCGCUCCACCGCCGCGCGCAUCACGCCAUCCAGAAGCUGCGACAUGGACGGCAGGUUGGCGCCGCAGCUGACGCCGGAGAUGUACCUGCGCACCUCGUCACGGAUCAUCUCCUGCAUCGCGGCGGCGAAAGCGGGGGAGAACGGGUAUGACGAUGCCGGUGGCGCGGUGGUGGACGCCGGAGCGGGCGGCGGCGACGGGGAGGGAGACGGCUGGUGGAAAUGGCUGCGGGAGCUGUCGUGGUGGAACGCGUGGGCAUCCGUGCCGGGGAGGGAGAGCGAGAGCGACGUGAAUGGGUCCUCCUGCUCCUCCUCCUCGUGUCGCUGGCUCAUGGCGCAGUCCGCCGGCUCGAACCCGCCGGCCCGCGCCACCGGCCGGUAA